rnacentral:rRNA from 1 species
UACGUAGGGGGCAAGCGUUGUCCGGAUUUAUUGGGCGUAAAGAGCGUGUAGGCGGCUGGGUAGGUCCGUUGUGAAAACUCGAGGCUCAACCUCGAGACGCCGAUGGAAACCCUCCAGCUAGAGUCCGGAAGAGGAGAGUGGAAUUCCUGGUGUAGCGGUGAAAUGCGCAGAUAUCAGGAAGAACACCCGUGGCUAAGGCGGCUCUCUAGUACGGUACUGACGCUGAGACGCGAAAGCGUGGGGAGCGAACAGG